GCUUACGGCCACACCGGCCUGAGUACGCCUGAUCUCGUCCGAUCUCGGAAGCUAAGCAGGGUCGGGCCUGGUUUAGUACUUGGAUGGGGAGACCGCCUGGGAUACCAGGUGCUGUAAGCU
rnacentral:rRNA from 1 species